CGGUGCUGCGCUCGCUCUGCUGGGCCCUGCCGCCGCCCGCAGAGGGCAGAGAGCGCUGCCCGUGCCCGGGCGCGCAGCUCCCUCCUAGUGCCGCUCGCUGCGCGGUCCCUGCUGGCAUUGCAGUCUCCUGGCAUCGGCGCUUGGGAGCUCAGUGUCUUGCCGAAAGGUGGAGCCCUUCCCCAGCUGGCGUGAGUGAGUAGCCUGCUCCUGCCCUGGUGCCACCUGCAUGCCGCACCCAAGUGGAUCCGAGCGCGAGGUGGCCACAUCCGAAGAGCCUCUCUGCCUUCCCCUCGUGUGGUGGUUCCCAGCACGUGGGCAGAUCAUCUGGGGAGAAAAUCAAGUCAUGUAGUAUGAGGAAACAUGAGAACCUGAGAACUACAGAGAGGAAUGAAGAGCAGAGCUGCUGAGAUCCAGUCCUGCUCCUUUUCUGCACUACCAGACCAGGAAGAAAAAGCACAGAGGCAGAUGGACAGCCAGAACAAGAACUGUCCUCGCAGCAGGCUGCUGUGUUACAGAAGCCUGUCUGGGCAGGCAGAUGAAGACAUGUGGCUCUCUUCUCUUACGCUUAGCUCACUCCAACUCUCACCUUCAAGGUACAGUAUUUUAUGGCUUGUAAUUUGUAGUGGCUCUGUGAUUUCUCAGAUUAGCUACCUUUU